UUAUUCCGAAUUAGAUGUAAUAUGCCUUUUGCUGUGUUAUAUUAAAUUAAAUUGGUGUUCUCCUAAUUCCCCAUUCUAGUAUGACCAGCAGAGUGCAGCUGAAGCAGGACAGGCUUGUAGGUCUUACUGAUUCCUCCAGCUGCUAGAGACGAUCAGAGCAUGAGGAUGGAGAGACCACUGGAGCUGGACUGGAGUUCUGUUUGGCUUUAGUGGCUUCCUGGAUGGAGACAUCGACUGAGCUAAAGCGGCUAACAACGCAACAUUUUCCUCUCCCAUUAUAAACUUUGCUUUUCUUCAACAUGGAAAAUACUCCUACAUCAGUAGCUCUGUUUGUUAUUUUGACAUCAAUGCUUACCUGAUGGCCAAUUGAUCCUCUUAACCACUGAAUGUAUCGGAACCACCUGGACUGAGCUGGUUUCGUCAGAGGGAGCUAAGACUUCGAUAAAAUGACUUCCCAUAUUUUAAGAUGUUCUUCUGGUAAAAUUGCAUCUUUAUGAUCCUAAUAUGACUGCAUUCUGAUAAUUAAAAAUACUUGUAACCUGGCCAUAACACUCCAUUAUACAACUCACAAGAGGAAUGACAGAAUUAAAGCCACUUUGUGAAAGUA